AAUCAGAGACAGUGAUGUUUUCUUAGCUACUUUUCCAAAAUCAGGAACUGUGUGGACUCAGAAUAUUUUGAGUUUAAUAAUUUAUGAAGGCCACCGUAAUGGAACGGAAGAC